GAUGAACGCUAGCUACAGGCUUAACACAUGCAAGUCGAGGGGCAUCAUGGAGUUUGCUUGCAAACUUUGAUGGCGACCGGCGAAUGGGUGAGUAACACGUAUCCAACCUGCCCGUUACUAGGGGAUAGCCCUCCGAAAGGAGAAUUAAUACCCUAUGUUAUAUAGAUGUUGCAUGGCAUUUAUAUUAAAGAUUUAUCGGUAAUGGAUGGGGAUGAGUCGGAUGAGGUAGUAGGUGAGGUAACGGCUCACCUAGCCGACGAUCGGUAGGGGUUGUGAGAGGAAUGACCCCCACAUGGGGACUGAGACACGGUCCAAACGCCUACGGGAGGCAGCAGUGAGGAAUAUGGGUCAAUGGGCGGAAGCCUGAACCAGCCAAGUAGCGUGAAGGAAGACUGCCCUAUGGGUUGUAAACUUCUUUUAUACGGGAAUAAAGUCAGCCACGUGUGGUUGUUUGCAUGUACCGUAAGAAAAAGCAUCGGCUAAUUCCGUGCCAGCCGCCGCCGUAACAC
rnacentral:rRNA from 1 species